ensembl:sense_intronic Gm11948 predicted gene 11948
GAUUGAUUUAUUGAUUUAUUUAUUUAUAUAUUUAUUUAUUUAUUUAUGGAUACAGGAGAAAUCCUGUCUCGAAAAAAAAAGUCACCAACCAUACAUAAACUGUAACUGGUUGCUUUUGCAAAUGUAAACACAGCAGCUUGAUUGCCAUAAAAAUCAUGUAUGUUUAUUAUCUUGAAAUGUAAGCCAGUACACAUUCAUUCAAAAUUGGGUCUACGAUGCCAUUUGCCCCUUCUGUGAUGGAGUCCUCUGUCACUGUAUGGUACCUUGAGUCAAGCAGCUGUGGGGCUGGAAACAGUCUAAGGUAGUGGAUUGCUGCCUGCAGUGCUGCUAUGUCUGGAGCAUCGUGAGCUGGUAGACUCUGAUCAUCCUGAUCUGAAGUGCUCAGUCCAUGGGCCCCCAACCUGCUUCCCCGCACUCCUCAGUGCAGGAUGGGAUCCAUGGUGGCGCACAUGCUGGGCAGACACCUCCCCACUGAGAUUCACCUCCAGUCUCCUGAUUUCCUGGCUUCCAAAGAGUACAUCUGUCUGAUUAAGAACCCUUCCC